rnacentral:rRNA from 1 species
UGGGGAAUAUUGGACAAUGGGGGCAACCCUGAUCCAGCCAUGCCGCGUGAGUGACGAAGGUCUUCGGAUUGUAAAGCUCUUUUGGCGGGGAAGAUAAUGACGGUACCCGCAGAAUAAGCCCCGGCUAACUUCGUGCCAGCAGCCGCGGUAAUACGAAGGGGGCUAGCGUUGUUCGGAAUCACUGGGCGUAAAGCGCACGUAGGCGGAUGUGUCAGUCAGGGGUGAAAUCCCGGAGCUCAACUUCGGAACUGCCUCUGAUACAGCACGUCUUGAGUCCGGAAGAGGUGGGUGGAAUUCCUAGUGUAGAGGUGAAAUUCGUAGAUAUUAGGAAGAACACCGGUGGCGAAGGCGGCCCACUGGUCCGGUACUGACGCUGAGGUGCGAAAGCGUGGGGAGCAAAC